CUUACAUGAGAUGCAACUUGUCAUGAGUUUCGGUGUAAGGGAUGGUGUGGACAGCAACACACCACAGACCAACAGUGACAGAGAAACGAGAGUAAAGCCUCAGAAAAUCUGCAUCCAUGAGGUGCAUGAGAGGCCAUAUUACACUGCCCUUUGUCAACUCAUUACUGGUGGACAGCUCACCUCCCCAGCAGAAGUGGA
rnacentral:lncRNA from 1 species